CCUUGAUCUCGUAGCCGGCGCCAGCAGCCGCGCUUUGGGGCGUCGGCUCACGUGGGGCCGGCAACGCGUCUUCCAGGAUGUUCGCGCGCUAGUCGCCGCUGAGGGGCCGGCGAUGCGCGAGGAGUUCCGGCGAGGAAGGUCGGUCAGUGGACAUGGCCGAGGCCCGCGGUGUCCGCGUGUGGGAGCUGCAGGGCUGAGGAGAGGCCGCCCGCAACCCUCGGGAAUCGUGUGAGGUGCCACUGGGGUCGCUUCACAUCAGGAGGCCCCGUCUCGGGGGACGCGCGCAGCUUCUGGUGGCUGCCCCAGCAUUCCUGAGCGUG
rnacentral:lncRNA from 10 species